GAUCUACUCGUUUACCGGUGAUUAAUGUCUUCGUUGUCCCAGUGGAGUGGCUUGUGUGCGCGUGUUUCUCCAGCGCUCGAGGCGUCUCGAGGUUUGGGGUUCUCGCAGCCCAUUGUGCAGUUAGUAAGGCGAGGUUCCUCCUCUUCGGCGCUUCUGAGGCAUCUCUGGGUUCGUCGUGUGUUGGCUUCGGCAGUGUCUCGUUGGCGUGUGCGUCUGCGGCUUUGGUUCGUUUCAGAGUCGUCUAUGGCUUUGUCUCUGCCCGUGUUCAUGGUGCUUCUUUCUUGACCCCCUCAGGCCUCGGCUCUUCCCCCUUCGGCUUCUCCUGUGUUCGUCUCGGCUGCGCUUCAUUGUUCUUGCUUAUGUUCCGGUUAGCUAGCCGGCCAGUGUUCUGGUUCUCAGGAUCUGUCCGUGUCUGAGUCGCUCUUUCUCUCCGAGGGGUCUUCGGUUUAGGUGGUGUCUCGGGUUUUCUUGGUUUGAACUCAUCGUCCCAGCACUGGAGUUAGUCGCUUGCGUUCUGUCUUCCAGUGGAUGGGUUCUUCCGGCUGGUGUUGAUGUUCUGGUGUGCCUUUGUGGAGAUGUUGCUGUCCUCAACCCGUUUUGUAAAGGUCUUUGGCGUAUAGCUACUUUGUGGCUGUCCGUCGGAAUAAGGCUCGGUCUUGUUAAUGUAGGUGUGCUAGGCCUCUGGCUUGACUGGUGUCGUGUUGACGGAUGUUCAGGAAGUCUGUCUCGAGCUGUUUUUGGUCGAGCCAAAUCAUAAAGAGCAGUUCAUCGGAGAGGCCAAAAUUACCGGGUUCUGUCUCUUGUUUUAACUGUAGUUUAACCUCUUGCGGCAAGUGGUAAGUAUGGAAUGGUUGAAGCCGCUUGAUUUCGGUUUGGUUGGUUGUGUCUGUCCCUGCUAGACUAGAUCGAGUUGUUUAGAUUUUGUUUAUUUUUCUGUUUCUUGUUGUCUCUGUACUUCUGUCAAAAAUUUGAAAAUUGACAAUAAUAUCUUUACAUUUAAAAAAAAAAAAAAAAAACUAUUAGUACCAAAUUUUUCAGGAAAGACCUAACGUGGAAAACGUGAGGUUGGGACAGGUUAGUUGAAACUUGAAAGAAAUCA
rnacentral:lncRNA from 1 species